rnacentral:rRNA from 1 species
AGAGUUUGAUCAUGGCUCAGAUUGAACGCUGGCGGCAGGCCUAACACAUGCAAGUCGAACGGUAACAGGAAGCAGCUUGCUGCUUCGCUGACGAGUGGCGGACGGGUGAGUAAUGUCUGGGAAGCUGCCUGAUGGAGGGGGAUAACUACUGGAAACGGUAGCUAAUACCGCAUAAUGUCGCAAGACCAAAGAGGGGGACCUUCGGGCCUCUUGCCAUCGGAUGUGCCCAGAUGGGAUUAGCUUGUUGGUGGGGUAACGGCUCACCAAGGCGACGAUCCCUAGCUGGUCUGAGAGGAUGACCAGCCACACUGGAACUGAGACACGGUCCAGACUCCUACGGGAGGCAGCAGUGGGGAAUAUUGCACAAUGGGCGCAAGCCUGAUGCAGCCAUGCCGCGUGUAUGAAGAAGGCCUUCGGGUUGUAAAGUACUUUCAGCGGGGAGGAAGGGAGUAAAGUUAAUACCUUUGCUCAUUGACGUUACCCGCAGAAGAAGCACCGGCUAACUCCGUGCCAGCAGCCGCGGUAAUACGGAGGGUGCAAGCGUUAAUCGGAAUUACUGGGCGUAAAGCGCACGCAGGCGGUUUGUUAAGUCAGAUGUGAAAUCCCCGGGCUCAACCUGGGAACUGCAUCUGAUACUGGCAAGCUUGAGUCUCGUAGAGGGGGGUAGAAUUCCAGGUGUAGCGGUGAAAUGCGUAGAGAUCUGGAGGAAUACCGGUGGCGAAGGCGGCCCCCUGGACGAAGACUGACGCUCAGGUGCGAAAGCGUGGGGAGCAAACAGGAUUAGAUACCCUGGUAGUCCACGCCGUAAACGAUGUCGACUUGGAGGUUGUGCCCUUGAGGCGUGGCUUCCGGAGCUAACGCGUUAAGUCGACCGCCUGGGGAGUACGGCCGCAAGGUUAAAACUCAAAUGAAUUGACGGGGGCCCGCACAAGCGGUGGAGCAUGUGGUUUAAUUCGAUGCAACGCGAAGAACCUUACCUGGUCUUGACAUCCACGGAAGUUUUCAGAGAUGAGAAUGUGCCUUCGGGAACCGUGAGACAGGUGCUGCAUGGCUGUCGUCAGCUCGUGUUGUGAAAUGUUGGGUUAAGUCCCGCAACGAGCGCAACCCUUAUCCUUUGUUGCCAGCGGUCCGGCCGGGAACUCAAAGAAGACUGCCAGUGAUAAACUGGAGGAAGGUGGGGAUGACGUCAAGUCAUCAUGGCCCUUACGACCAGGGCUACACACGUGCUACAAUGGCGCAUACAAAGAGAAGCGACCUCGCGAGAGCAAGCGGACCUCAUAAAGUGCGUCGUAGUCCGGAUUGGAGUCUGCAACUCGACUCCAUGAAGUCGGAAUCGCUAGUAAUCGUGGAUCAGAAUGCCACGGUGAAUACGUUCCCGGGCCUUGUACACACCGCCCGUCACACCAUGGGAGUGGGUUGCAAAAGAAGUAGGUAGCUUAACCUUCGGGAGGGCGCUUACCACUUUGUGAUUCAUGACUGGGGUGAAGUCGUAACAAGGUA